rnacentral:rRNA from 1 species
ACAGAGGGUGCGAGCGUUGUCCGGAAUCACUGGGCGUAAAGGGCGCGUAGGUGGCUCUAUAAGUCGGGGGUGAAAUGCUGCGGCUCAACCGCAGCGCUGCCUCCGAGACUGUAGGGCUCGAGCACGGUAGAGGCCGAUGGAAUUCCCGGUGUAGCGGUGGAAUGCGUAGAUAUGUGGAGGAAUACCGAUGGCGAAGGCAGCCCCCUGGGAUAACACUGACGCUCAUGCACGAAAGCGUGGGGAGCAAACAGGA